CCUACGGGAGGCAGCAGUGGGGAAUAUUGCACAAUGGGGGAAACUCUGAUGCAGCGACGCCGCGUGAGUGAAGAAGUAUUUCGGAAUGUAAAGCUCUAUCAGCAGGGAAGAAAAUGAUGUUACCUGAUUAAGAAGCACCGGCUAACGACGUUCCAGAAGCCGCGGUAAGACGGAGGAGGCAAGCGUUAUCCGGAUUUAGUGGGUGUAAAGGGUGCGUAGGCUGUCGGACAAGUUUGGAGUGAAAUGGCGGGGUUUAACCCCGGGACUGCCUGGGAUACUGUUCGACUAGAGAGCGGAUGCAGCAGGCGGAAUGAGUAGUGUAGCGGUGAAAUGCGUAGAUAUUACGAAGAACACCGAUGGCGCAGGCAGCUUGCUAAUCCGCAUCUGACGUUGAUGCACGAAAGCGUGGGUAGCGAACAGGAUUAGAUACCCCAGUAGUC
rnacentral:rRNA from 1 species